rnacentral:rRNA from 1 species
UACGUAGGGGGCGAGCGUUGUCCGGAAUUAUUGGGCGUAAAUAGCUCGUAGGCGGUUCGGCAAGUCACGUGUGAAAUCUCCACGCUCAACGUGGAGGCGCCACGUGAGACUGCUGUGACUCGAGUCCGGUAGGGGAGCGUGGAAUUCCCGGUGUAGCGGUGAAAUGCGCAGAGAUCGGGAGGAACACCCGUAGCGAAGGCGGCGCUCUGGGCCGGUACUGACGCUGAGGAGCGAAAGCGUGGGGAGCAAACAGG